GGCUGGCUGGCCAAAUGGUAAGGCGUCGGACUCCUAAUCCGAAGAUUCUGGGUUCGAGUCCCAGGUUGGUCG
rfam:Colletotrichum fioriniae PJ7 Scaffold_310.1, whole genome shotgun sequence.